rnacentral:rRNA from 1 species
GAAAGAUUAGCUAAUACCGCUUACGACUGGAGGGUGAAAGUGGGGGACCGCAAGGCCUCCUGCCAUAGGAGCGGCCGAGGUNNGAUUAGCUAGUUGGUGAGGGUAAAGGCCCACCAAGGCGACGAUCAGUAGCUGGUCUGAGAGGACGAUCAGCCACACUGGGAUGAGACACGGCCCAGACUCCUACGGGAGGCAGCAGUGGGGAAAUUUUGGACAAUGGGCGAAAGCUGAUCCAGCAAUGCCGCGUGUGUGAAGAAGGCCUUCGGGUUGUAAAGCACUUUUGUCCGGAAAGAAANGGCUCUGGNUAAUACCGGGGUCGAUGACGGUACCGGAAGAAUAAGCACCGGCUAAUACGUGCCAGCAGCCGCGGUAAUACGUAGGGUCCNAGCGUUUAUCGGAAUUACUGGGCGUAAAGCGUGCGCAGGCGGUUGUGCAAGACCGAUGUGAAAUCCCCGAGCUUAACUUGGGAAGUGCAUUGGUGACUGCAGGGCUAGAGUGUGUCAGAGGGGGGUAGAAUUCCACGUGUAGCAGUGAAAUGCGUAGAGAUGUGGAGGAAUACCGAUGGCGAAGGCAGCCCCNUGGGAUAACACUGACGCUCNUGCANGAAAGCGUGGGGAGCAAACAGGAUUAGAUACCCUGGUAGUCCACGCCNUAAACGAUGUCAANUAGUNGUUGGGGAUUCAUUUCCUUAGUAANGUAGCUAACGCGUGAAGUUGACCGCNUGGGGAGUACGGUCGCAAGAUUAAAANUCAAAGGAAUUGACGGGGACCCGCACAAGCGGUGGAUGAUGUGGAUUANUUCGAUGCAACGCGAAAAACCUUACCUACCCUUGACAUGCCACUAACGAAGCAGAGAUGC